GACGAACGCUGGCGGCAUGCCUAAUGCAUGCAAGUCGAGCGAACAGAUGAAGUGCUUACACUUCUGACGUUAGCGGCGAACGGGUGAGUAACACGCAAGGAAUCUACCUAUAAGCGGGGGAUAACAUUCGGAAACGGGUGCUAAUACCGCAUAAUAUCUUCUUCCGCAUGGAAGAAGAUUGAAAGACGGCUCUGCUGUCACUUAUAGAUGACCUUGCGGUGCAUUAGUUAGUUGGUGGGGUAACGGCCUACCAAGACGAUGAUGCAUAGCCGACCUGAGAGGGUGAUCGGCCACAUUGGGACUGAGACACGGCCCAAACUCCUACGGGAGGCAGCAGUAGGGAAUCUUCCGCAAUGGGCGAAAGCCUGACGGAGCAAUGCCGCGUGAGUGAAGAAGGCCUUCGGGUCGUAAAACUCUGUUAUAAGAGAAGAACAAAUUGUAGAGUAACUGCUACAGUCUUGACGGUAUCUUAUCAGAAAGCCACGGCUAACUACGUGCCAGCCGCCGCAGUAA
rnacentral:rRNA from 1 species